AGGAGGAGAGAGCUCAGCCUGUAAAUUGCCAAAGCAAAUAGGGAUGCUAAUGGUUGUGCUGGAGAGUGACUCUCAUCUCCCUGGCAGAGACUUAACAUUCCUGAGUUCCUCUUGGAAGCUUUCAUAAGCAAAUGGGUUAAGUACGCGUUUUAUUAAUAACAAUCACACUGGCAAUGCUGACCCUGGUUGAAUGGUUCUUGUGCACCAGGCAUCAAUCAGAGUGUCGAAUGGUACCUCAGUGAUCCUGGUCCCCACCCCCCUAAACAGCUCAACGCCUGGCCCUUUACCCUGCUUAGCGUUUCCCUAUAGUUCUCCCCAUCACCCGACAUGUUAUGUGUCCCCGUCCACCUGUUUAUCGCCUGUCUCUCUGAUCGGAAUGUGACCUCCAGGAACCCAGUUGCUUUUACUUAUGUUGUUCACUGUUGUUUCUCUGGAGCCUCGAACACUGCCUGGCACUUCCUUGGUGCUCAAGAAAUACACGUUUGUUAGAUGAAGGCGUGGAUGUUGUUCAUUUACUCCCCACAGCAUCCUUGUAGGUUAGUAAAUUGGCACAAAGAGGUUAAGUCAUUUACCCAAAGUCACACAACCAAAGGAAUGGUAGAAUCAAGACUUAUGCAGCAGGGUUAUUUGAAAAACAGAAACAGCUAUGUAGAGUGCAUCA
rnacentral:lncRNA from 1 species